AGCCCAAACCGAGGGUCUACGGACGUUCGGGGUUCGGACUUGCAAAAAUCGAAGUACUUAUAGACGAAGAGGUUUGGAACUUCCUACCAAAGAGGGUAACAGUCCCGUAGUCGAAAUGAGUACAAGAGGGCGAGAAUCCAGAGUACCACAGGACACGAGUAAUCCGGUGGGAAGACGGGGGGCCCACCCCCCAAGGCUAAAUACUACUUGGUGACCGAUAGCGUAUAGUACCGUGAGGGAAAGGUGAAAAGAACCCCGGGAGGGGAGUGAAAGAGUACCUGAAACCCUAUGUUUACAAGCAGUGGGAGCGAGAGCGACCAUGUACUUUUUGUAGAACGGGCCGGCGAGUUACUGUGUGCAGCGAGGUUAAGUUGUUAAGCAACGGAGCCGAAGGGAUACCGAGUCUGAAAAGGGCGUAAAGUUGCAUGCAGUACACCCGAAACCGGGUGACCUAUCCAUGGACAGGAUGAAGCGACGGUAAGACGUCGUGGAGGUCCGAACCACACGUACGUGAAAAGUGCGGGGAUGAGCUGUGGAUAGCGGAGAAAUUCCAAUCGAACUCGGAGAUAGCUGGUUCUCCCCGAAAUAGCUUUAGGGCUAGCCUCGAUUUAGAUUACCGGGGGUAGAGCACUGAAUGGGCUAGGGGGCCACAAAGCUUACCGAACCCUAUCAAACUUCGAAUACCGGAUAAUUGAUGAUCGGGAGUCAGACAGUGUGAGAUAAGUUUCAUUGUCGAAAGGGAAACAGCCCAGAUCUACGACUAAGGUCCCAAAGUUCAAGUUAAGUGGAAAAGGAUGUGCAAUUGCGUAGACAACCAGGAUGUUGGCUUAGAAGCAGCCAUUCAUUCAAAGAGUGCGUAAUAGCUCACUGGUCGAGUGAUUGUGCGCCGAAAAUGUAACGGGGCUAAACUUGACACCGAAGUCUAGGCAGAAGGAAACUUCUGGGUAGGGGAGCAACGUGUACGGGCAGAAGCAGAAGCGGAAGCGACUGUGGACUGUACAGGAGAGAGAAUGCCGGCAUGAGUAGCGAGAGCAAAGUGAGAAUCUUUGCCGUCGAAAGCCUAAGGUUUCCUGAGGAAGGCUCGUCCUCUCAGGGUAAGUCGGGACCUAAGCCGAGGACAAUAGUCGUAGGCGAUGGACAAUCGGUUAAUAUUCCGAUACCGCCGAGCAACCGGAUGCAGUGACACAGAAGGAUAGGCAGAGCGUGGCGAUGGUAGACCACGUCCAAGCAGUGAGGCUGUUGUGUAGUGAAGUACGCACAACGGAAGGCUGGGCUGUGAUGGGGAACGAUUACGAUCGGUAAGCUGCUGAAUUCACGCUGGCGAGAAAAGCUGCUACGAAGCGAAGGCGCCCGUACCGCAAACCGACACAGGUAGGCGAGGAGAGAAUCCUAAGACGAGCGGGAGAACCCUUGUUAAGGAACUCGGCAAAAUGACUCCGUAACUUAGGGAGAAGGAGUGCCCAGGAAUGGGCCGCAGAGAAUAGACCCAAGCGACUGUUUACCAAAAACACAGGUCUGUGCGAAGUAGAGAUACGACGUAUACGGGCUGACACCUGCCCAGUGCCGGAAGGUUAAGGGGAAAUGUUAGGGCAACCGAAGCAUGGAACUUAAGCCCCGGUGAACGGCGGCCGUAACUAUAACGGUCCUAAGGUAGCGAAAUUCCUUGUCGGGUAAGUUCCGACCCGCACGAAUGGCGUAACGACUUGUGAGCUGUCUCAACAGGAGGCCCGGUGAAAUUGAAGUAUGUGUGAAGAUGCACAUUACCCGCGACUGGACGGAAAGACCCCGUAGAGCUUUACUGUAACCUGACAUUGGAUCUUGAUAACGGAUGCACAGGAUAGGUGGGACGCAGAGAGACGAGGACUUCGGUUUUCGUGGAGCGGCCGUUGGGAUACCACUCUUCUGUUAUUGAGAUUCUAACCUCAAGCCGUAAGCCGGAUGAGAGACAGUGUCAGGCGGACAGUUUGACUGGGGCGGUCGCCUCCGAAAGAGUAACGGAGGCGCCCAAAGGUACCCUCAGAAUGGAUGGAAACCAUUCGAAGAGAGCAAAGUCAGAAGGGUGCUUGACUGCGAGACCAACAAGUCGAGCAGGUACGAAAGUAGGGCUUAGUGAUCCGGCGGUAAGAGAGUGGAAUUGCCGUCGCUCAACGGAUAAAAGCUACCUCGGGGAUAACAGGCUGAUCUCCCCCAAGAGUUCACAUCGACGGGGAGGUUUGGCA
rnacentral:rRNA from 1 species